GGAUUAUUAGCUCAGUUGGCAGAGCGUGCGACUGUUAAUCGCAAGGCCAGUGGUUCGAUCCCACUAUAGUCCG